rnacentral:rRNA from 1 species
GUGUCAGCAGCCGCGGUAAUACGUAAGGGGCGAACGUUGCUCGGAAUCACUGGGCGUAAAGGGCCGGUAGGUGGCUUUAUAAGUCGGUUGUCAAAUACCUAUGCUCAACGUAGGAGAGGCGACCGAUACUGUAGAGCUUGAGUAGAGGAUGGGAUGAUGGAAUACCCGGUGUAGGGGUGAAAUCUGUUGAUAUCGGGUAGAACACCGAUGGCGAAAGCGAUCAUCUAGCCUCAUACUGACACUCAACGGCGAAAGCCAGGGGAGCGAACGGGAUUAGAUACCCCGGUAGUCCUGGCCAUAAACGAUGCAUGCUAGGUAUUGGCACCGCGUUGGUGCUGGUACCGCAGCUAACGCGUUAAGCAUGCCGCCUGGGGAGUAUGCUCGCAAGAGUGAAACUUAAAGGAAUUGACGG